rnacentral:rRNA from 1 species
GAUGAACGCUGCGGCGUGCCUAACACAUGCAAGUCGAGCGAGAAGUAAAGAAAUGAAGCUUCGGUAGAUUUUCAUUAUGGAAAGCGGCGGACGGGUGAGUAACGCGUAGGCAGCCUGCCCUGUACAGGGGGAUAGCCACCCGAAAAGGUGAUUAAUACCCCAUGAUGCAAGAGAUACACAUGUAUCACUUGUCAAAGAUUUAUCGGUAUGGGAUGGGCCUGCGUCUGAUUAGCUAGUUGGUAGGGUAACGGCUUACCAAGGCAACGAUCAGUAGCCGACCUGAGAGGGUGAUCGGCCACAUUGGAACUGAGACACGGUCCAAACUCCUACGGGAGGCAGCAGUGGGGAAUAUUGCACAAUGGGGGAAACCCUGAUGCAGCAACGCCGCGUGAAGGAAGAAGGCCUUCGGGUUGUAAACUUCUGUCCUAGGGGAAGAAACAAAUGACAUUACCUGGAGGAAGCCCCGGCUAA